CCUGGAACCGCCAACUUCCAGGAAGGUUGGCUCCGGGAGAGGAACAGAUGAAAGCUCGACAUGGCUAAAUUUUGCAAUGGGUGAUGCUGACCAGGCUCUGUCUCCCAUUCACUGGGUAAAGAAAUCAGGCUGCCAUACGGCUCUGGGUGGGGACCUGGUCUCGUUCAGUUUAGAAGCAUUUAUUUUUUUAAAGUAAGUCCUGGUGUUGACUGGGAGUUGAGGGUCUGAGGCCAAGUUAAAGCAGACCGUGUCGACGGCGAAACCCCCUCACCGAGGGGUCAGCAGCUUGGGGCAGAAGGGCGGGCUCCAUGCAGAGGCCUGAGAACCAGAGGAAAAAGCAGGCCAGGGCACCCUCCAAAGCAGCCCCCCAGAAAGGACCUCCAUGGGGUCCCACCAGGGUGUGCUGAUGAGGAAGUCGGCACUCAGAGGCUGAGAUGGCUCCAAGGUCGCACAGCAAUAUGGACACAGGUCUGCAUCCCGAAAAGCUUGUGCUCUGACCGCUACACCACACUGUCUCCUACCCUGCUUCCCCCUGUGGCCAACCAUGGGCCUGCCCAUCCCAUCAAGCCACUCGAGCUGGAGGGGGGACACCUGUGUGUCCUAAGCCCCUACACCGCGCCAGCUGCUGUUCUGGAGGCUGGAUGUGCAGCCGGGAAGAAGCUGGAGGGGCCUGCCUUCAGGGAGCUGGUGUUCCAGAAGGAUGCUCAGCUCCCCACAGCCCGAGACAGACAGACCCUGGCUGUCCAUGGCCGCCAGCCACUGCCCUCCAGGUGACAGGAUGGUGGGGGGCCGGAGCCAGGACGCCCGCCUGCUCUUCCAGGAGGAACGGCGCGCACGAAAGCGUGAGCCCCAGGGAGCAGGGGAGGAGGCUGAGCCAAGCAGGCGGCAGGCGGGAUAAAGGAUAAACGUAGCGCCGUGACGCAGCUGCUCCCUCCGUGCAGGGCUGGCCGGCAGGGCCCUGGGCCCCAGGGGGGCCACCUAAGCUGGUGGUCACGGCCUCCCCCCGGCGAUGCACCGGCCCGGCCCCCCGUGUGUGGGUAAGGCUCCCCACUCUGCCCAGACGAGGCAGGAGGACCAAUGGCAGAGGCGGCCGUGGAUUCUUGCCUGGCAACAGCUGCAGGACUCGGGGGCCGGAAGUCGCCCCUCCCACAUCCUCCCAGUGCCCUGGCUUUGCCAACGCAGGAAACUGCCAGCCUGGGCUCCUCGGAUCCUCAAGAAGAGCUGGCUCGCCUGUUGGGAGGGGGGAUUGCACGAGCGAGCUGGGGUGCGCGGCUGUCCCACGGGGAGCGGCACCCUAAGGUCCGGCCAGGAGAUACUCACCGGUGCCCAAGGCGGGGGGUGGGGAGGAACUGCCCCCAAGUGCCCCCCACCUGCAGGGGCAGAGAAUCAGCUGCCAGGCGGGCUCCCUGGAAGGUGGCAAAAGUGUCCCUGUAGAGCCAGCUGACUGCCCCCAGGAGCCCUCGCACCAGGCUCUGCUCAAGACCCUUCCCGGGACAAGCCGAGCCCCCCCAGUCAGGGCCCUGGGCCCAGGACCCCCGGGAAGGGGCCCACCCUCCAUCGUCCAAGACCAGAGCCUUGUCUUCCUGGAGCCCCCUGUCCCCACCACAACCACAGGAAGCCUUCACCCCUCCCCUGGGGGCCUCAGGACACAGAACUCUCCUCUGUCUCAGCUUUUACUCCCAAAUACUUUUUUGGUCCAUGGAGACUAGAAAGCCCCAGAGUGAGGACCCCAUGAUGGAGGAGUCUGGGGGGUAGAAGGUACAGACAGGUAGGCACGGCAGGCUCGCUCUGGGCCAUGGGGCAGGGGCAGCCCCUCAAAUGCGUACCUUCCAGAACUUGUUUUAUCAGUGAAGCAGGGCAGCUAGAUCCCAAUAAGGAAUGGGUCUAGAAACAAGAAAAGCCACUUCUUUCCUUCACCCUGGGCCCACAGCACGUCCCCAUUCUGGAGUUGCAUCCAGCCCAGAGGACCACAGGGGAGGCCAGGAUGGGGACCUGGAGAGGCCUGCACCCCAUGGUCAACAUGCUUUCCCAGCUAGAAACUGGGAUACAUCAGUCACAGCGUUUGCUCUGAUGUGCAAAGCACAGUAAACCAAGCUGUAUCUGGCCGGGAGUUAACUAAGACCCCCGUGGACAUGCUGGACAUCAGCACGCUCUGGGUCCUGCCUCUUGGGUGCCCGAGAUGCCCACGAGGAGCCCCGUGCAGGCCCAGAUGGGACAGGAUGGUUCGGGCCACCGGGGGCAGCGCUGCCACCAAGGCGUCUCUUCCUGGCCCCCCUGUAGCCCCUCCUCUGUCUGCCUCUGCGACCAGACCGCCCGGUCCCCCAUCUGUGGGUCAGCAGGACAGACAUGGCAGGAGGUCCCCGAGGGCUGGCUCUCCCUGGGACUUGCCUAUGUCCUUCUCUGGACUCAAUGCAGGGGCUGCCCAGCAGCUCUUGGUGGUGCACCAAGGGUUGAACAUCUUGAAAAUGAGAAGGGGGUUCACUCUACACGGUUACAAUGGGGUUACUUAGCCUGGUAGCAGGUGGGACAAAGACGGGGGGUGGGGAGAGAGAGAGGGCUGUCACCCCACCCCUGCUCCUCCAACAGGCUCCCUCUCUCCCUGCCCCUGCUUCCCCUUCUUCCCACGCCCUCCUCUCCCCUCCUCAGACUUAGAAGGGUGGACCCUGGUGGUGCGCCCCCGGGUGGGGGGGAUGCUCAGCCCUCACCCCCACCCUUGCUCACACCCUCACUCUGUGUGCCCAGACCUCUCAAAUCCAGCCAGGUAAGUUUACUGCCAGUUGAUCUUGAAGCAGGGAUACUCAGAUUGGGCAAAUGUGUCCACGUGUGGCCCAGGAUGCAAGGCAGGGGUGCUGGGGACAGGGGGGCUCUCACACACCGGCCCUCUUCUGUGGGUAGUGCUCAGGUUGGCUCCGACCCUGAGAUGGAAAGUGUUUUGAAAUGCAG